UGUGUGCUCAUAGGAAUCUCCCAUU
rnacentral:piRNA from 1 species